CGGGGGUACAAGGCAUGGUCUGCGGCGCCGCACCUUGUUGUUCCCUGCCGGUGGCGGGCGAGCUGCAGUGGCGCUUCUCUGUUGCGUGGCGAGGGACGGGGGCGGAAGGUGUGCAUCUGCAGUGCCACUCCUGGGGCAUGCCUCUCCGGCGACAUUGCCGGCGUACACAACAUACCUUACUACACGGGGAUUUCAUCUCUGAACUAAAUAUUACGUCCGAAGACUGAAACAUCCAGAAGAUUUAUUGAGACUAUUCAUUGAUGGUCUUUCUCUACUACACGAGGAAGGCCUGAGGUAGACAAACAUAACAACUGAUGAAAGAAGAACAUAUUUGUACCUUGUUGCCCGCUGACUAUAUGCAUGGUUGAAUUGUAGUAUGUGUGAUACAUGAGAAUAAUGUAAUAUGAAGUGAAACAUGGUGGAUAGGGCUUCGUGAAUGAGCUGGCGGAGAAGAUGUCAGUGGUGGAAGCGGAGAUGUUAUAGAAGAUGUUGCGGGCGGUACCGGAGGAAAUGGCCAAAUGGGGUUCCUCGGAGCCGACAAGAAGGAUGCUGCAGCGGCACAUAUUGGUUUCCAUUUCCAUCCAGAGAAGAACUUAUGAACGAAGAGAUAUCCUAGAAGUUGAGUGCAGUUGGAGGGGCCUCAGUCCUUUUGAGCCAAGAAAAGUAGAUGGGGCAUGUCCAAGCUAUGAAUAGUAGAUGGGAAAGUGUUGAAAUAUUUUGUGUUUCCAUGGUUUGUAAAUGGUAGGAGGUAUAUGUAGUAACCUGUACGG